AACGUUUGCUGUGUUGGGAUCCAGUGUGAGAUCACAGGCAUCUGGACACAGAGAAAAAUAAGAGAGAAUUAGAACACAACAGAACAACAAUGAUAAAAGGACACUUGCACAGUGUUAUAACACUUUGGAUUGUAUAUACAUAGGUGAACAAAUGGACUAUCAACACAUGAAGUUUCUUCAAGACUGCUUUUUGAUAAAGAACCAGCAGUCUCUAAGCUUUUAACAGUCUAAGGGCUCUAUGUAUAUGUUGUGUUAUUUCAGUUCGGUGUUGUUUGUGAAAAAAUAUUUUUGUUAUUGUAUAUUGUAAAAUAUUGUUUUAACAUUGUUUGCUCAGCUGAUGGGGCAGAGUGUUACACUUUUAACUCCAAAUAAACAAAAAAAAUUGCAA